GGCUGCAACUCGCCUACCACGAAGCUGGAAUCGCUAGUAAUCGCGGAUCAGCACGCCGCGGUGAAUACGUUCCCGGGCCUUGUACACACCGCCCGUCACACCAUGGAAGUCUGCAAUGCCCGAAGCCGGUGGCCUAACCACUUAUGUGGAAGGAGCCGUCUAAGGCAGGGCAGAUGACUGGGGUGAAGUCGUAACAAGGUAGC
rnacentral:rRNA from 1 species